rnacentral:rRNA from 1 species
GCCUACAGCACGAGCGUAGCUGGUUGAGAGACGACAGCACACUGGACUGAGACACGCCCAGACUCUACGGAGCAGCAGUGGAUUUGACAUGGGGAAACCUGAUCCAGCCAUCCGCGUGUGCGAUGAAGGCUUCGGUUGUAAAGCACUUUGUCAGGAAGAAAAGGUUUCGGAUAAUACCCGGAACUGAUGACGGUACUGAAGAAUAAGCACCGGCUAACUACGUGCCAGCAGCCGCGGUAAUACGUAGGGUGCAAGCGUUAAUCGGAAUUACUGGGCGUAAAGCGUGCGCAGGCGGUUCGGAAAGAAAGAUGUGAAAUCCCAGGGCUCAACCUUGGAACUGCAUUUUUAACUACCGGACUAGAGUAUGUCAGAGGGGGGUGGAAUUCCACGUGUAGCAGUGAAAUGCGUAGAUAUGUGGAGGAACACCGAUGGCGAAGGCAGCCCCCUGGGAUAAUACUGACGCUCAUGCACGAAAGCGUGGGGAGCAAACAGGAUUAGAUACCCUGGUAGUCCACGCCCUAAACGAUGUCAACUAGCUGUUGGGCCCUUCGGGGCUUAGUAGCGCAGCUAACGCGUGAAGUUGACCGCCUGGGGAGUACGGUCGCAAGAUUAAAACUCAAAGGAAUUGACGGGGACCCGCACAAGCGGUGGAUGAUGUGGAUUAAUUCGAUGCAACGCGAAAAACCUUACCUACCCUUGACAUGUCUGGAAUCCUGAAGAGAUUUAGGAGUGCUCGCAAGAGAACCGGAACACAGGUGCUGCAUGGCUGUCGUCAGCUCGUGUCGUGAGAUGUUGGGUUAAGUCCCGCAACGAGCGCAACCCUUGUCAUUAGUUGCUACAUUUAGUUGAGCACUCUAAUGAGACUGCCGGUGACAAACCGGAGGAAGGUGGGGAUGACGUCAAGUCCUCAUGGCCCUUAUGGGUAGGGCUUCACACGUCAUACAAUGGUCGGGACAGAGGGUUGCCAAGCCGCAAGGUGGAGCCAAUCUCACAAACCCGAUCGUAGUCCGGAUUGCAGGCUGCAACUCGCCUGCAUGAAGUCGGAAUCGCUAGUAAUCGCGGAUCAGCA